GCCACAGCCGAAAAAGCCCUGGCUCUGGCUGAGGCCACAGAGAGGUUAGGCUGGCCUCAACCAGAGCCAGGGCUUUUUCGGCUGUGGC